rnacentral:misc_RNA from 1 species
UGAAUUCUACGCCUGGCGUGUCCCGGCUGCUAACCCGCGCUUUCCCCCCACCAUUGGACACUCGUUGGCGGCAAGCCUUCCCCCAACUCGAUCAAACCCCACCACGCGUUUUUCCACCACCACAACACCAAACCCGCAUCCGGGAAUGACGGAGGGGAGAUCGAGGGGUAGCGAUCCGUCCACCUCCAGCAUUGAUGGUAAUCUUACCGCGGAUCGUAAAGCACGCUUACCCCUGCGGUCAAGUGCGAAAAUUGCAAUGAAAGCAUCGAGACACCUCCAGUCUUUCUCUUCUUUUCUUGUCCCACUGUGCCUCGUCGCAGUGCAAAUAAUCAUCCGUCGCCGACCAACUGGCGGCACACAGAAGGCAAAAUACAACAUGGCGGAGAGAGAGACGGCAGAGAAGCCUCGUGACGUGUUGCCGUUGCUACAUAAUUAGCGCGCGAAAAUAGAUUUUUGCGAAACGAGCCGAGCUCCGCUCUGGUAUGUCAAUGAAAACAAAUCCUUGUUCCCCUUUUUUCCCCUCUCCUGCUCCCUUUCUCUUUGUCGAGGCCUGGUAGCUCAGGCGAAGGCCGCCGAAUACUGAAAUAUACACGCCGUUCGGAAUAGUCGAAUCAUUGUUUGCUCGAUCGAGUCCUCGGUAUCGUUUUGCUUCUCGCCAAACCGACCUAGCUUCCGAAAUAACAGGCACGGCUUCCCCGCAUCUAUCUAUAUCCUGGCCCUCGAAACCUACGCUCCAUCGAAAGAAAUUCAUUGCACAAAUUGAACAGAAACUUGACAAGCGGUUGUCAUUGUUUUAGACACCACCGCUAGCGUAGAAUUAAAGAAAAAUCGUAAGACAGUGAUUAGUGGAAUUUAACUCUCGAGGAUUGCACUGCGAAUCGCGGCAAUCAAAGCACAACAAGGUUGUAUAAUAUUUUAACAGUUAAUAUAAAUGCUUAUAUGUACUUAUCAUCGCUCCCCUACGUGCAGGCGGUGCGUAUAAAGCAAUAAAGAGACACAAUUGUGCAAACAUAUAAAUGUAAUUGGAACAGUUGCGACACGUGCGGCCUUGUCUAUAUAAUGCAGAAAAUUUGCAUCGAUAUCCGGCAAAGAAAAUUUAUCCUUUGAUCGUUCUAAUUUCCCGUUGAACGCCGUCAUUUCCAUGGGAAUAUUAAAAAAGCAUUUCUGCGCUCUUUGAAGCAAAUAUGAAACCCAGAUACGACAUUACCUUUGUAUCGUUAUUACAACAACAUUUUUCAGCAAAGCACAGAAAACAAAUUUUUCUUUUCGGUCUUACCGUGUUUUGAAAUCUAACAACUGAACCGUAACGAUUAUGUAAUGCGUCAUUUUUUCACGUGUUUGGCGAUAGUCGAUAAUAGUAAUAGUUGCAAGAUAGAAAUUGCAGAUAAAGUUUAGUAUUCCUGGUAGAAUGUCGGUACGCUUCGAUGUGAAAACC